rnacentral:lncRNA from 1 species
GUUUUGUAUGUUUCUGCUCCAAUUUUUUGAGUGUGACCUCCCUCGUUUAAAUGUGCACACAAGGUUAUUCCCUUAUGUUACUACGUAAAAAAAAAUCUAACCAUAUCAAAAAUGUUAUACUAUUGCUCUCCAGUCAUGUUAAUCAUAAAUUUCAAUGUUAACACGUCCUUGACAAUUUCCUUAUCCGUUGAUGCAAUACAAAUCACAUCCUGUGCAAAUUCUACGAUUUUUAUAAAUACAAAAAAAUCA